rnacentral:rRNA from 1 species
GACGAACGCUGGCGGCGUGCUUAACACAUGCAAGUCGAACGGAAAGGCCCUGCUUUUGUGGGGUGCUCGAGUGGCGAACGGGUGAGUAACACGUGAGUAACCUGCCCUUGACUUUGGGAUAACUUCAGGAAACUGGGGCUAAUACCGGAUAGGAGCUCCUGCUGCAUGGUGGGGGUUGGAAAGUUUCGGCGGUUGGGGAUGGACUCGCGGCUUAUCAGCUUGUUGGUGGGGUAGUGGCUUACCAAGGCUUUGACGGGUAGCCGGCCUGAGAGGGUGGCCGGCAUCGUGGCGACUGAGGUAGGCACCAGCCUCCAACGGGAGGCAGCGGGGGGAAAUCUGGCAGAGGGGGCGCGCGCGUGUUGCAGAAGCCUCGGGGGGGGGAUGGCCGUUUUGGGGUUAUAAACCACUUCCUCCUGAAACAAAGGGGGAUUGACGGUAUUGAAUAAAGAAGCCCCGGCUAACUACGUG